rnacentral:rRNA from 1 species
UGAAUACGAGACGCUAAGGCGUCGAAGUAGUGUAUGUCAUACUUCCAAGAAAAGCUUGCACUGUCAUAGAUAAAAAACGCCUGUACCAUAACCGACACAGGUGGGUAGGUAGAGUAUACUAAGGGGCGCGAGAUAACUCUCUCUAAGGAACUCGGCAAAAUAACUCCGUAACUUCGGGAGAAGGAGUGCCUUAUUCUUAAGGUUGCAAUAACAAGAUCCAAGCAACUGUUUAUCAAAAACACAGGUCUCCGCUAAGUCGUAAGACGAUGUAUGGGGGCUGACGCCUGCCCAGUGCCAGAAGGUUAAAGAAGCUGGUUAGCAUUUGCGAAGCUAGUAACUGAAGCCCUGGUGAACGGCGGCCGUAACUAUAACGGUCCUAAGGUAGCGAAAUUCCUUGUCGGGUAAGUUCCGACCCGCACGAAAGGCGUAAUGAUUUGGAUACUGUCUCGGAGAGGGGCUCGGUGAAAUAGACUUGUCUGUGAAGAUGCGGACUACCUGCACCAGGACAGAAAGACCCUAUGAAGCUUUACUGUAACUUGAAAUUGAAAUUGGACUUUAUUCGCGCAGUAUAGGUGGGAGGCGUUGAUUAUAAUCUUGCGGGAUUAUUGGAGCCAUUAGUGAGAUACCACUCUUGUAAUGUUAGAUUUCUAACUUUGAAUCAUUAUCUGGUCAAAGAACAGUUUCAGGCGGGCAGUUUGACUGGGGCGGUCGCCUCCUAAACGGUAACGGAGGCGUACAAAGGUUUCCUCUGAACGGUUAGAAAUCGUAUCUAGAGUGUAAAGGCAUAAGGAAGCUUGACUGUGAGACCUACAAGUCGAGCAGGGACGAAAGUCGGUCUUAGUGAUCUGACGGUACUGAGUGGAAAGGCCGUCACUCAACGGAUAAAAGUUACUCUAAGGAUAACAGGCUGAUCUCCCCCAAGAGUUCACAUCGACGGGGAGGUUUGGCACCUCGAUGUCGGCUCAUCGCAUCCUGGGGCGGUAGUACGUCCCAAGGGUUGGGCUGUUCGCCCAUGAAAGCGGUACGCGAGCUGGGUUCAGAACGUCGUGAGACAGUUCGGUCCAUAUCCGGUGUAGGCGUUAGAAUAUUGAGAGGAGCCUUCUUUAGUACGAGAGGACCGAGAAGGACAUACCUCUGGUGUACCAGUUAUCGUGCCAACGGUAAACGCUGGGUAGCUAUGUAUGGAGUGGAUAACCGCUGAAAGCAUCUAAGUGGGAAGCCCACCUCAAGAUAAGUAUUCUC